rnacentral:rRNA from 1 species
GACGAACGCUGGCGGCGUGCUUAACACAUGCAAGUCGAGCGGUAAGGCCCUUUCGGGGGUACGACGAGCGGCGAACGGGUGAGUAACACGUGGGUGACCUGCCCUCCAGCUCUGGGAUAAGCCUGGGAAACCGGGUCUAAUACCGGAUAUGACUCCAUGACGCAUGUUGUGGGGUGGAAAGCCUUGUGCGGCUGAGGAUGGGCCCGCGGCCUAUCAGCUUGUUGGUGGGGUGAUGGCCUACCAAGGCGACGACGGGUAGCCGGCCUGAGAGGGCGACCGGCCACACUGGGACUGAGACACGGCCCAGACUCCUACGGGAGGCAGCAGUGGGGAAUCUUGCGCAAUGGGCGAAAGCCUGACGCAGCGACGCCGCGUGAGGGAUGACGGCCUGUGUAACU